rnacentral:rRNA from 1 species
CGACCCCAGGUCAGGCGGGACUACCCGC